UAGUUGGAGCGGCGCAAGGGUGCGUAACACGUGGGUAAUCUGCCAUGAAGUUUGGGAUAACUCGCUGAAAGGCGAGCUAAUACCGGAUGUGACGAUUGGAAGGCAUCUUCCGAUCUUCAAAGUUGGGGACCGUAAGGCCUGACGCUUCAUGAUGAGCCCGCGGCCUAUCAGCUAGUUGGUGAGGUAACGGCUCACCAAGGCUAAGACGGGUAGCUGGUCUGAGAGGACGACCAGCCACACUGGAACUGAGACACGGUCCAGACACCUACGGGUGGCAGCAGUCGAGAAUUUUUCACAAUGGGGGAAACCCUGAUGGAGCGACGCCGCGUGGGGGAUGAAUGGCUUCGGCCCGUAAACCCCUGUCAUUCGCGAACAAUGCCUGUGUAUUAACACCAUACAGGUUGAUAGUAGCGGAAGAGGAAGGGACGGCUAACUCUGUGCCAGCAGCCGCGGUAAUACAGAGGUCCCAAGCGUUGUUCGGAUUCACUGGGCGUAAAGGGUGCGUAGGCGGUCGGGUAAGUCUGAUGUGAAAUCUCACAGCUUAACUGUGAAACUGCAUUGGAUACUAUUCGGCUUGAGGUCUGGAGGGGGGACUGGAAUUCUCGGUGUAGCA
rnacentral:rRNA from 1 species